AAAAUACUCCCUCCGUUCCGAAUUACUUGUCGCAGGUAUGAAUGUAUCUAGAUGUAUUUUAGUUCUAGAUACAUCCAUUUCUGCGACAAGUAAUUUGGAACGGAGGGAGUACAAG
rnacentral:pre_miRNA from 1 species